UCCCUACCUGUCCACAGCUGCCACCUCUGAGCUGCUGUCCCUGUCACCAGGGCUGGCCUCGGUCCAUGCUGCCUGAGGAGACAUCCUGGGGUCACUGUGGGAGAGAGGGAAAUGGUAGAUAAGGUGGAUGGUGGUGGAUGGUGGUGAUGCCCAGAUCUGCUCCUGAUGGAUGGAGCUAACUCCUGUGCCUCCAGCCCUCUUAAUCUUGCUGUCAACCUGGAAAAAGAUACAGCUCACCUCCUGGAGAGCUCACCUUGACCAUGUGAGCUGAUUUUUGGGUUUGGCUCAUGCUGAGGGUCUGUGAAAUCAGCACAGGGCAGAGGAUUCAGCCAGGGGAAGAGGCUGAUCAGGCAGCCAUGGCUUCUCUGUGCAGACACUUCGUGCAUUCAGCCACUGGUUCCUCAGGAGCAGAAUGGAAAAUGAAGGUGGGAUUAAGAGAUUUACCUGAGACCUCUGGAGCCUCCUUUUCCCUUGUUUUACCUGCUAAGUAUCUCUGCUUCCCUGCCUUGCAGACAGCAGCUUCUUUUCCUUCAGAGGGGUUCCAGGCUGGGAAUAUUCACAGCCCUGUGUUAUCUGGUAUCAGCAAAGAGAUGGGAACAUCUUGGACUGAAAUCACUUGAUUUAUUGUUCCUGGUCCUUUGAGCAGCUCAGAGUAUGAUGGGAUGGGAUCUUCUCAUUUCCUGCCACUUUUAGUGGGAUUGGAGUGAAGAGGGUCACAAGAGUUUGAGGAUCAUGAGAACUGCAGUGGGAGAUUUAUCCUUGGGAAGGGAAGGAUUCAGAGGGAUCUAAGGGGCUGUGCAGUACCUGUGAGGAGGGGUUCGAGAAGACAGGCAGACUCUUCAGAGCAGUGUAUGGCGAGAGGAGGAGACACAACAGGUAUGAGGUAAGUUAAGAGAAGCUCAGACUGGGGAUAGAGACACCCUUUUUUCCAUGAAGGCAGCCAGGCAUCAGCAGCUUGCCCAGGAAAGCUGUGCUGUCUCCAUCUUCUGAGGUUUUCAAGCCCCGAUGGACAAUGAGGUCUUGAAGUUGACCUUGCUUUGAGCAGAAAGUUGAACUGGAGACCUCCUGAGGUCCCCUGUGACCUGGGAAAUUCUGCCACUUUGUGUUGAGGUCAGCAUCCCAGGGCUGCUCCACCACCUCACACAAUGAACUCCAAAGCAGUUUUGGGGUUCCUGUAGGCUGGAAGAAGGUGGCUGAACAUGUCUAAAGCUAUGGAUCACCAUGCACUGCCUUCAUAGAAUCAUAUAAUAAAAUCCUGGAAUGGUUUGGGUUGGAAGGGACCUUAAAGCUCUUCUCAUUCCAACUCCCUGCCAUGGGCAGGGACAUCCUCCACUAGACCAGGUUGCUCAGAGCUCCCCCUGCUCUGCACCAGGACAUGGGAUCUGAUGGAGCCCAUACCCCACCCAUGGCAUCUCCUGGGCACGGGUCCCAUCCCGGGAUCGUCCCAGGUAUCAGGCGAAGAACAAGGACAGUCACAAGGUCUGGCAGCUGCCCAGCGGUACCUGAGCCAAAGGGACCCAGUGGGAUGGCCAGAGAUGCACUGCUGCCGUCUCCUGCAGUGCUGCAGGCCAGUCGGGAGCACUCGGGGCCUCAGGGGAGCAGAGGGGGGCGCUGGGGGUUGAGUCAGGGCCUCUGAGCUCAGACUUGUAAAAAACCUGCAGACCACGGGGCUGAUGUGCAGCACAGCCACAGCUCCUCCCUCCGUGUUUGCUGUGACCUCUUUGCAAGGCAGCUUUUGGCUCUGAGGUUCACAUCCUCUCCAGAUCUGCUGGCUAUGGCAAAACGAAAUUGGCUCUGCACAAACUCCCCAGCUCCACAUGCACUUCCCACAGAGGAGACAGGGAGGGCUAAAAUUGCAGCGUGCUGCUUGUUCCAGCCAGCAAGGCAAGCCUCACCUGGGGAUGCUCAGGGUUCCUUCUGCUUGUGCAGCUCCUCCCUUCUAGCUCAGCUCCCCCUCCCAGCUCAGCUCCCCCUCCCAGCUCAGCUCCCCUUCGGGAUGUACGCUGCUUUGAGUGGGGAGUGCCAGUUCUUUAGCAACUCGACGUCCAGAAAAACCUGCAGUCACAAAACUAAAUAUAGCCAGGAGAGGCCAUGAAUAUGGUGACGCAGUCUGGAAGUGGUUCCUGGCUGUUCUCCAGCAGCUGGGAGCAAGGCAUGUGGCUUUGGCUUCUUAGGGGCAGGGGUGUGCAGGGGGAAUGGGGCCAGGCUUGGCAGCACGGUGGGCUCAAGGGGGACUCCAUCCUCCUGUGGCUGCCAGCACAGGCUGCUGGGGUGAGGCAGCAGAAGUGGUGCCACUUGUGCUGUUUGGGGCUGGGAAGGAGCUUCAGUGGUACAGAGACCUGGUCCAGGAUUCACUCAGCUGGAACUCCCUGGAAGGAUGGGACUUGGAGACUUGGGACAUUUCCCACUGUGGCUGGGGACCUCCUUUAGCCCUUAAACAACAGUGCUGGCACUCCUGUGAGGGGCACAGGCAAGGCUGUGGUCUCACCCCUGGUUUCCUCCAGCCUGAGGACUGUAGGGCUGCAAGACCUCAUCAGAAGGGAUGCACAAACCAUCAGCACCACUGGUGGCUCCAUCAGGACCAAACCAGGAGGAGCAGAGCACAGCAAGGGGCCAGGGAACCUCAGCCCCCCACCCUGCACACUGCAGGGAAGGCAGCUGGCAAAGCACUAGGGACCUCAGGCUGGACACCACGCUCAGCCAGGGCUCCCUCCUGCACAGGGAGGUAAAGCUGGCUCUGGCUGGGAGCUGGAAUGAAGUCACUGGGGACUGACACCUCGCUGGGUGCCACACUUGUGCUGAAACACCCCGGGGGUCAGGCUUGGCCACCUCUGCUUCACUGGCAGCUGCUGAGAACACGCCAGGCUGGACCAUGGCACUGUGUGUCCUUCCUCUCAUCCCCGUGGCAGUAAGAGCUCUCCAAAGAGGAAAUAAAGUGCAGGAAGGGACAUUCCAAUCUGGCCUCCAACCUGGCCCUCAGAACCUCCCUGCUGCAGGGACUGGGUCCCAUGCUGCAUGGAUCUCUGUGUCUGUAGCUCUGGAAUGGCUCUUCCUCCUCGCUCACAGUGAGAUGCUGCUGCCCCCGAGCCCAGGAAGCUCCAGGGCUGGUCAUGCCAUGUGGGACUGCAGGGCUCUGGCCAGGACAUGCUGGGGCCCUGCUCAUCACCCAGAGCCACAUUCAGUGCCUGGCUGAUGAGUGGGAACCUCAGAAAUCCAUUUCCAGGAUGAAUUGUGGUCAAACUGACAGGACUCUGCCCACCGAGAUUUUGGGGUGUGCCUGAGGGUGCUCCCCCUGGUCAGACCCUCAGUGUGCUCUCCAAAGAGGGAAAUCUGCCCUCAACCCUUGCUGCAACGUGUCCUCAUGGAGGGGAUCUUGCAGAGAGCCAGGUCCUGUGCCAAGGGAAAGGCAGGACUGGCAGAGCUGGUCCUCACAUCCAGAGUGUGUGAGAGCUGCAGUCAUCACCCCAUCAUGUCUGGGUGUCCAACCUUGUCUGCAGUGGCUUUCCUUGGACAAUCUUUGCCACGCUAACAGCCUGAUUUAAACUCUGGAAGUUAAUAAUGGGGAGCCAGAAUCAGCUUCUGCUCUGCCUCACUGUUUCUCUGAAUGAUUCUCGUGCUCAAAAAUCCUAGGCAAGGCUGGGGAGGAGAGCAAGAAACAUCUGCCACUGUCCUGGGUAGUUCAUUGUGUGGACAACCCUGGAAAGCAAGGCUGGGUUUAAUGCACCCACAGAGCUUGCCACAUCCCAUUCCCUGACUGCAGCAACAGCCAUGGUCCUCCUCACUGAUGUUGGGAUGUUUAUGAUCAACAUUUUGGGAAAAAGCAUGGGAGGGGUGGGUGACCUGCACCUGGCCAUGGUGACAGAACUGCUCACCCUCUCCCAAACCCUGUCCCAGGUGUCCCCACCACUCUGCUGGAUUCUGGUUUCCCCCUUCCCUGGCCAUGCUGAGAUGCAGAGCCAGCCUCCUGUACAUCAGAAUAUUAAUCUGUAGGUUUCAGAGAGCUGAAGGAGCAGAGAGAGCCCCAGCGGGAGCGCUGGGAAGCAGACGGCGCUGCUGCAUGGGGAUCUAUGCCCAAAUGCUCCAUAUCAUAUCAUACAGCAUAUGUCUAGAGACAGGCCAGCAAAUUCAGACCUGAAAAUGUGUCUAAUUGCCAGGCAGGACGUUGAGACUGAAAGAGCUUCAAAGGAAACACAAUUCCCAUGUGUUGAGAGCAGCGUGGUGGUUCUCCAGGAGCUCACUUUAUUGGGACAGGCCCUCCCCUUGCACGUUACUUCAGUCCUAGCAGAGCCUGAAGGUCAAACCUGGCUCACUCACUUGCACCACUUCAGUAUUUGCUGCUUUGGCUUAAAACUAGAGCUUGCUGGUCUUAGCACAAUGCACAGUACCACAGAAUCAUGGAAUAUCCUGAGCUGGGAGGAGCCAGAAGGACUUUUGAGUCCAUCUCCUGGCCCUGCACAGGACAGCCUCUGAAUCAGUCACACCAUGCUUCUCACAUGUUUCCAUCUCUUUUUCCAUACAGCUCUUUUUCCUUUUUCCUACUCUCUCCAGCUCAGUUUUCCCAGCCAUUGCCCAGAAACUGCCCUGGAACAGUGGAAAAUGCUAUUGCCACAGAUUUUACUGUGGUCAAUGGCACGUGGCCUGGAGCUUAAAGGGAGUGCCCCCAGUGACAGUGACAGAUUCCCUGGGGAGCCAAGGCUCUGCCCUCCCUGGUUCCCAGCACAGGCCCUCAGGCAGCAGUGCCACCACCCUCUGCUGUCACACACUCCUGUCCCUGUGGUGGGCACCACCUCAAGCGCAGCCAAGCCUGCAAGCAGCUUGGGGGUGGCAUUUGGUGGCCUGAGUGGCUUGUAUGGGCUUCAGAAGUGACCUGAAUCGUGGUGUGACCUGUCCAGGGGGUGCCGGGCUGGGUGCUGUCUCUCUGGUAACACAGGCACCCUCACAGGGCUCCUGCCAGCUCCGGGCUGGCACCAGCAGCAGAGCGAUGCCUGGGCAUGCCCCAGCCCGGGAGUCAGGUCAGUCUGGGCAAGGUCAGUCCCAGUACGAGAGGGAAACCUCAUCCCAGCUUCCCUCUGCACCUCCCACCCUCGUUUCUCUGUCGGAUCUCCUCUCCCAUCCCACCCUAAGCCCUCCUGGCAUUCCUGCAGCAUCACCUGCCCGGUCCCAGGCUCGCAUCCCUCACUUCAGCACAGUGAGGAGCCUUGGGGCUGUCCCUCGCUCCCUCCUCCUCUUUCAGGAGCCAGGUGAAACCCAGUAGUUUUUAGGAUCUGUGUUGGCAGAGAAGAGCGAGCAGAUGGUGCCCUAAAAUCCCCGCGCCCCGAAGAGUGAGCUAGUGAUCAUUUGUGAAGCUCUCGAGAUCUAUUUUUUUCCCAGACCCCGCUGAGCCUGGCGAGGACUGUAAUUGCAGCCUGGGCUGGCUGGAGAGGGCAAUACCCGGAUGGGCUCCUCGCCUUUCAGGCUGUAAUUGGGCCCUGGCGAUACAAAGCACAAAGCUCCUUUCCUUCCUGUUCGCCGGGCUCCCUCCGUGAAACCUUCCCCUGCCUGUGCUGGAAAAUAUGUAAAUACCAGGGCAUGGGAGAAUUGCUCCCUCGUGCCUGCGUCACGUCUGAAAUACCCAUUAAAAAUAUAUGUUCCAAAAA